rnacentral:piRNA from 1 species
UGCGUGGUCCCCAGAGUCAGACUGUGGC